ACGAACGCUGGCGGCGUGCUUAACACAUGCAAGUCGAACGGAAAGGCCCUGCUUUUGUGGGGUGCUCGCGUGGCGAACGGGUGAGUAACACGUGAGUAACCUGCCCUUGACUUUGGGAUAACUUCAGGAAACUGGGGCUAAUACCGGAUAGGAGCUCCUGCUGCAUGGUGGGGGUUGGAAAGUUUCGGCGGUUGGGGAUGGACUCGCGGCUUAUCAGCUUGUUGGUGGGGUAGUGGCUUACCGAGGCUUUGACGGGUAGCCGGCCUGAGAGGGUGACCGGCCACAUUGGGACUGAGAUACGGCCCAGACUCCUACGGGAGGCAGCAGUGGGGAAUAUUGCACAAUGGGCGGAAGCCUGAUGCAGCAACGCCGCGUGCGGGAUGACGGCCUUCGGGUUGUAAACCGCUUUCGCCUGUGACGAAGCGUGAGUGACGGUAAUGGGUAAAGAAGCACCGGCUAACUACGUG
rnacentral:rRNA from 1 species